AGUAGCAAGUCGUCGUCGCGGGAGGCCCUGCGGGGACGGGCGGCCGUGAGCUCAGGGGGCUGUCCUCGUGAGCUCGGAGGACAGGGGGGACCCCCCGAACCAGGCUGGCCCAGGGAGCUGCACUCACCCCGAGUCGAGGCCGCCGGACGCUUCCCAGAGGAAGCCGAAUAGUGCAAGCCGGAGGAGAAGCCAGCGACCCGUGGAGGUCGCCAUAUUGGACCGGGGCCUCGGGUCAUGUGGGCUCGCCUCACGUGACUCAAGUCCCAGGGUGGCCGCUUUCAGCUCGGACUGAAUUACCUGCGCUCUUUUCGGCUGGCGGGCUGGCGGGCGGUGCUGGUGAUGUUAACUUUUUAUCUCCAGUCAUUUCACCCUCUCCCUGGUUUGGUAACUGAAGCCUUCUGAAAUGAACCAGUGUCAGGCUCCAGUGAGGACUCCAUCCCCAAUUCAGGAAGCACAGAGGUGGAGCAUAAUCCCCCCAAUUUGUUUAUGUGCGGCUGACUUCUCUCAAGAUGGUGUGCCUGUUUGGGAAAACUUUUGUUUGCAAGACAAUGUGAAAGAAAUCCUUAAAGCUCACAGACUGCUGGGUGGAUAUGACAUUCUGGCCCUUGGUUCCCCCAAGAAAACAGCAACUUGCAGAUAGCAAGUCAAACUUGUCAGCAGAAUCCAGGGAUGUUCCUCGAGGCCUGACAAGUUAAGAGCAAUCAUGGGAAGGCAUUCAGAGGACCGCAGCAGAGGAUCAGGUCAAGGGAAACCUACCUCCUAAAGGAAAGAUCGAGAAGAACCAUGCGCCCCACCACCCACCUGGGCUGCUCAGCUGGGCACAGAAGCAGCCAAGGAUAUUUUCAUUCGGAUGCUCACAUAUGACUGAGUUGCCACAUGAGGAUGAUCCGUGGCGAUUUUCCACCUUGAGGCAAAGCAGGACAAUGCGUGUAAAGAGGUUUGCAGCCCCGGGACCGGGUUUUCAGCUGGUUUUUCUACCCCAAAGUCCAAUGCGUGCAGGCUGUCAUCAGCACCACAGACAGCACCAGAACCCAUCAUAAUGUCCCAGAAGGUUUUAUUGCUAAAUUAGUGUCAGAGCUCCAGGGAACACAUUCAGAUAUAGUCACACUGAGUCAGAGCUCGAGGGAAGAGCUGUAAGCUGGGAACCAGAGAACCGAUGACAAGGCAGCGGCCUCUUCUGGCAGCUUCCGGAGGAGCCCCCACUUAAUGGGACGUCAUCACUUGAGGCAGCAGGUAA
rnacentral:lncRNA from 10 species